rnacentral:rRNA from 1 species
CCUACGGGGGGCAGCAGUGAGGAAUAUUGGUCAAUGGACGCAAGUCUGAACCAGCCAAGCCGCGUGCGGGAAGACGGUUCUAUGAGUUGUAAACCGCUUUUGUCAGGGGGCAAAGCCCGCGACGUGUAUCGGGUUGAGAGUACCUGAAGAAAAAGCAUCGGCUAACUCCGUGCCAGCAGCCGCGGUAAUACGGAGGAUGCAAGCGUUAUCCGGAUUUAUUGGGUUUAAAGGGUGCGCAGGCGGUCUGUAAAGUAAGCGGUAAAAUCCCGGGGCUCACCCCCGGCAUGCCGUUGAAACUGGCGGUCUCGAGUGAGAGAGAAGUAGGCGGAAUGCGUGGUGUAGCGGUGAAAUGCAUAGAGAUCACACAGAACUCCGAUUGCGAAGGCAGCAUACCGGCGCACAACUGACGUUGAGGCACGAAAGCGUGGGUAUCGAACAGGAUUAGAUACCCGAGUAGUC